UUACUAUUAAUGUUUCACCUUAGAUAAAGGCUGCAGAUCCAGGGGUUCAUGCACAGGGUGCUCCUGUGUCUAUGUUACCUUCUGGAACCACACUCUGGUAAUGUUCACAUUCUCUCAUCUACAUUAGACCAAUCAGUACUCAUUCUUGUAUCUCUUUACCUUUCUCCGAGAUAAUGGCUGCCCACAUGUCUGGCCUGGCAGUGAUGGAUGGUCAACUCUCACUUAUUCCUGUUACCCACAACCGACCUGCUCAUCUGUCCAGCAGAUGUAACAGACUGGCAGUAACUGCAGUAGCCACUUCAACAUGACGGAAGUAAAAAAUGUAUACAUAUUAUUUUCAAGAAUAAAAGUGGAUGAAGCAUGAUUGAUCGUGUACGU
rnacentral:lncRNA from 1 species